rnacentral:rRNA from 1 species
AGUGAACGCUGGCGGCAGGCCUAAUACAUGCAAGUCGGACGGCAGCACAGCAGAGCUUGCUCUGUGGGUGGCGAGUGGCGGACGGGUGAGGAAUACAUGGGAAUCUGCCCAGUCGUGGGGGAUAACGUAUGGAAACGUACGCUAAUACCGCAUGCGCCCUUAGGGGGAAAGCCGGGGACCGAAAGGCCUGGCGCGAUUGGAUGAGCCAAUGUUCGAUUAGCUAGUUGGCGGGGUAAAGGCCCACCAAGGCGACGAUCGAUAGCUGGUCUGAGAGGAUGAUCAGCCACACUGGGACUGAGACACGGCCCAGACUCCUACGGGAGGCAGCAGUAGGGAAUAUUGGACAAUGGGCGCAAGCCUGAUCCAGCCAUGCCGCGUGAGUGAAGAAGGCCCUCGGGUUGUAAAGCUCUUUUGUCCGGAAAGAAAAGCAUUCGGUUAAUACCCGGGUGUUCUGACGGUACCGGAAGAAUAAGCACCGGCUAACUUCGUGCCAGCCGCCGCUGUAA